UAUCACAUUGAAACACCAGUUCUCAGUUGAUCACUGAAGUUAAGCAAUGUUGGUCCUAGUCAGUACCUAGAUGGGAGACUGCUUGGGAAUACUAGGUGCUGUCAG